rnacentral:tRNA from 1 species
AAGGGUAUAGCUCAGUGGUAGAGUGUGUGCCUAGGAUGCACAAAUUCCUGGGUUCAAUCCCCAGUACCUCCA